rnacentral:rRNA from 1 species
AACGAACGCUGGCGGCAGGCUUAUCACAUGCAAGUCGUGCGCCCCGCAAGGGGAGCGGCAGACGGGUGAGUAACGCAUGGGAAUCUACCCAUCUCUACGGAAUAACGCAUGGAAACGUGUGCUAAUACCGUAUACGUCCUUCGGGAGAAAGAUUUAUCGGAGAUGGAUGAGCCCGCGUUGGAUUAGCUGGUUGGUGGGGUAAAGGCCUACCAAGGCGACGAUCCAUAGCUGGUCUGAGAGGAUGAUCAGCCACACUGGGACUGAGACACGGCCCAGACUCCUACGGGAGGCAGCAGUGGGGAAUAUUGGACAAUGGGCGCAAGCCUGAUCCAGCCAUGCCGCGUGAGUGAUGAAGGCCCUAGGGUUGUAAAGCUCUUUCACCGGUGAAGAUAAUGACGGUAACCGGAGAAGAAGCCCCGGCUAACUUCGUGCCAGCCGCCGCGGUAACAC